UAAAGAUUUCAGAAACGUGUUGACUUAGAUUUGUGCUUCUUUCUGAAGUUAUUUUAUUGUUACAAAGCAUACAAAUACAUAACUCAGUGCCAAAUAAAGGGAUUCUGAAAGAAACAGAAAGCGGUUUCAAAACUAAGUGAAUGAAUAUGAGUGAAAGGUAAGUAUUAUCACAGGUAUUUUCUUUUUGCAUUGCAAAAACAAAACAAAUCCAAUGUUUAGGGCAAAAAUCAGGGCUCCCCAACAGUAGACCACAAUCUUGCAGAUGCUCAGGCAAUCCCAGAGCCAUGUGGCCCUGUUUUCAGCUCAUGCUCCUUCUGUCCCUGUAGUUUCAUGGGAAGGUGAUGUGGGCAGCACUGCUCCACUGAGCAUUCUCAGGAAUUUCAGUGUUUUUACCCCUUCCCUGCUCAGAGACAGGGCGUGCAUGUUGUCAAUAUCCUUGCUCAUCUUUGCAGACUUACAGCCACACCCUAACUACCAGUAACUUCAAGGAGCUACAUAUGAAUAAUAAAAUAUGUGUCACAGAAAAUUAUUAUGCUUGUGGCUGUGAAAGAUGUCCUCUGGUUUUGGUAGGAGCAGACACCAUCCAGCUAAUCAGUGCUGCAGGAAGAAUGUGUCCCAAUACCUUGAACUUCUCAGAAACCUUGAAAACUUUCUUCUAGAAAGAAGAGUCUAGACUAGGCUGGGAAAAGAUUGGGAUCAGAGGUAAGGUAUUAAAAGGUUAAGCCAGCUCCUCAUUAACCCCACUAGUGCAAGUAGGUGAUGGAGUGUGCAAUUCAGCAAAGCAAGACUCAGAAUCUCAGAGAGGAAGGAGAUCUGAGGACUUGCCUCACCCUCAUGCUUUAUUUUCAGAUAAACAAAGUCAGCUCAGAAACAAAAACAUGACUGUAUUUCAUCAAAUCUAAAAAGUGUCAACUAUCAGACACUUGUUAUUUUAUGUAGUCUUAAGAGUGACACAAAAUGCUGUUAAUAAAAUAGGAUAUGCCAUUGAUUGUGAAACACAUCUCAUUUUUAAAGUGGUAAAAGCAAAAACAAAAGCUUAAAAAAAAAUCUGAUAUGAUUUGGCUGUAUCCCCACUCAAAACUCAUCUUGAAUUAUAACUCCCAUAAUCCCCAUGUGUCGUGAGAGGGACCAGGUGAGAGGUAAUUGAAUCACAGGGUCAGGUUUUUCCCGUGCUGUUCUCAUGAGAGUGAAUAAAUCUCACAAGAUCUCAUGGUUUAAUAAAGGGCAGCUCCCCUGUACACACUCUCUUGCUUACCAUCAUGUAGGACAUGCCUUUGCUCCUUCGCCUUCUGCCAUGAUUGUGAGGCCUCCCUAGCCAUGUGGAACUGUGAGUCCAUUAAACCUCUUUUUCUUUAUAAAUACCCAGUCUUGGAUAUGUCUUUAUUUGCCCUGUGAGAACAGACUAAUACAGUGUCUUAGAAGGGGUAUCUUGAUGAAACAUAGUAAGCAACUUGCCUCCAAAUGCUCACUUCUCAGUCCUUAGGUCUCCUGUUGUUCCCCACUAUGCUCAUGCAGCUUCAUUUCCAAUGAGAAACCUAAAAUCCAGGAGUGAGGAAACUAUCUCAAAGUCACUGAGUGAAGAAGGAGCAGAGCCAGGACUCAUACUAGGCCCCUGAUUCCUUUGUGCUGGCUCCCACAACUCUAUAUUGCCUCUCACUCUAAGGUAUUUAUCUCUUGCUCUGGAAAACAGAGCUAAAUUAGUCAGAGAACAUUUGCCUCCUGAUUAGGUUUAGCUUAUGAUAACAUAAAAAUUAAAUUGCUGCCCUGAACACAUGCAGGCAGGCUGGAAGCAGCCUGGGUAGACAUUUACCAGGGUAAGAGAGGGUCUCUGGAUUUGAAACAUGCUCGGUAAAAUCUAUAAAGCAGGCAAUCCAUGUGCCAGGCAAUUGAAUAGCUAUUUAUCACAGUUAGAUUAGAUGUUUUACUCAAUCUAGACUUACUGGAAUAUGGGAGAGAGGCUGAGAAUAAUUUUAUUUUCUCACAGACCUGGCCCUUCCCUCUGCCACACAGCUAGAGCACUGGGAUUUCUCCACAACAUCUGUGCCACUGCUUAAAUGAUGGAAGUUUGCCAUGUCUGUAACUAAGAGCCUGGCGGCUGACAUGUGAGCCGUCCAGCCUCACAUGGUCCACAACCCCCUCAAACUUGAAAAGAAGGACAGAGCCACACAAGAGGACAGCUCCUUCUGCAGUGCCUCCUCUGGCCUGACUGGUGAGGUACAAGUUAGGCAUGGAAGAGAAUUAUCUGGAAUGUCUUAUCUGGCUGGUGCCCCAGGAAACCUGAGAUACUGUAUACCUCCUGUUCACAUACUAACACUUCUAAAUUUAGCUUAGGGAGGUGUGGCCUCUAAUUCUUCAUAUGAAGAUAAGCUUCCUUUAACUCAGUGUUUCAACCUCUGCAUCGUGACUAGAUGACAUGUGAGUGGAGAUACUGACCGCCCCCUGCCCCGCCUUCAUCCCUAGGCUGGUCAUCUGGCUGUGAACCGCUGUGAUUUUUAAAUCUGCCAGUGACUUAGACAAUAACAAAAGGUUGCAUCCAGACUAACUUGGCCCAUGUUAAGAACCCUGGGAGCUCAGCCCACAGAUCUCAAGAUGAGAGUGCAGUGCGCUAUCAAUUUCUACAAUCUCAAAAACAGUGAAAAACAAAACCCCUAUUGCUCCUUGGCUACUUUAUUCUUAUCUGCUGGGUGAUAGCUGAUAGUAAGGUGUUGAGAGCACCCAGAAGAGAAGGAACAGCCCAGCUGUCCAUGGUGGGAGAGGAACAAAGACACCUGCCUUCUCACGAGGUAUUUAGUUUCAUUGCAACACUACUCAGUCUUUUAACUUUUAUUUUCUCUGCCUCCCCUGCCUGAUGAAGAAAGGAGACAGCCUCAGAGCUAUGCCUCCAGACGCAUCAUUCCUCUUGCAACACUGACUGUUUUCACAGCAAGAUGGGCCCUUUAGCUCUCCUCAUGAAAUGUGAGGCUGUGUGCCCUCUCUGCCUUCCUCUGACUACAGAGGACCACUGGAUUCCCCAAGGAAAAACCACAAGUUAAAUGACAGCAGAACAAGACUUUACAGGAAUGACAGCACCUGUAUCCUCCACUUGCCCAGGAAGUUUCCGGAAUCCACCUGCUCUAGCCCAUCUGUACCCCAGAUCCCCACUUUUUCUUGCUAUGCAUCUGCAUGCCAUCAUCUAGUUCAGCAAAAGACCUUCUGAAGACUAUCUGCGCAGAAGUCACCUGAAGAUAGUAUUAAUAACUAAGAAACAGUUUUUCAGUCUCAAAUAACUUUCUUCCUUUAUACAAAAAAAGGUUAUUAAAAACAUUUUUACUCCACAAUUUAUCAGUGAGAACUGACUUCAGAACAAUGCCCCUCAUCCAUGAUGAACUGGAAGGUUGAAGCAAACUGUCUUGUUCCUGGAAUCUAGGGGGUGGAAUGAGUGAAGAGGAGCUUACUUUGCUCAAGUGUUAAACAUUGGACUUUUCUUAACAGUCAUAUUAACAAAGUAUCACAAAUUUACUAAUUUUAUUUUACUUUAGUUGUUUGAGUCUCAGUCUCUUUCUAGCUCUUGGUCUUUAGGCAAGUCUAUUCCUAAACUUUCAAGAGAAAUAGAAACUAACCUAGAUUUCUUAUAAGGACAGGUAAUUUUUCCAUUUACUCACUUAACAAAAAAUUAUUCAUUGUGUUUAGUUGCUAGUCACUACCUAUUAAUAGAGUUUUUCUUUUAUUUACUUAUGUUUUAAUUCAACAGAUAUUUACUAAGCUCCUACUAAAUGUCUAGGAACAGAUUAGACCCUAGGGAUAGGGUUUCUACUCUCAUAGAACCUAUAGUCUAAGGAGGAGAUAGAUAUUAAACACAUAAUAAUAAAAAUGAAGUGUAUUAAAAGCUGUGAAGAGAAUCAUAAACAAAAGAUCAAGGAAGGAUGCAAUGUGUGUGUGUGUGUGUGUGUGUGUGCUUUGCCAGGUGUGGAAGGAGUUGAUUUACUUUUUAAGAGUAGAGGUCAGCGAAGGCUUAUCUGAGGGAGCAAUAUUUGCAAAUGAUCUGAAGACUUGAGUAAGCAUUAGCUAAACUGGCUAAAAAGAGGAAAAGUACAGACCAAUGCUGAAAGCAGGGCCUGCAGGAAUGUUCUAGGAACUUAACGUGACAGUGUGUCUGAAGUGGGGGGACUAAUGUGACCUCAUCAAUCAUGCAGGCCAGGCUAAAACCAAGUUUAAGAUUGUGAAUGCUGUUCUCCAGGUAGAGCUCACUGGUAAGCGCUCAGGAGGGCAAGAGCUAAGUAUUAAUAGCUCCUUCCCAUAAAAGAAGAGUAUUAUUUGAACUGUGAAUAUAAUGCUAAUUGACUUGUCCCUCUCUUCCUUAGCUAUCCAUCCCUGCUCCUACACAACCAUGCCCAUGUCUUAAGGAGAAUGAGGCAGCAAACUUUCAGUGUCCACUCAAACUCCCUGACACCACGCACCAUUCCCUAGCGAGGGUCAUUUGCAGUUAAAGACUGAUAUUUCUCUCUGCAGAAGGGAAGAGAUACAUUUGUGUAGAUCAGGUACAACAGUCCCAUUAGCACAUUUGCCUUAGUUCAAGGAUAACUAACUACAAUGAUUGCUGCAAAGAUCUUGUCUUUGUCUACACCUGAUUAUCCCAUUUUUAUUUUUAUUUUUUGGCACGUAGAAAGAUUUGUAAAUUUUAUAAUAUGUAAACAUAUUACAAAAUUUGCCAUUUUAACCAUUUUUAAGAGCUUAAUUGGGUGGCAUUAAUUACAUUCACAAUGUCGUUCAACCAUUGCCACUAUCUAUUUCCAAAACUUUUCAAUCAUCCCAAACAGAAACUCUGUACCAUUAAGCAAUCACUCCUAUUUCUUUCCUCUCCCUAGCCCCUGGCAACCACUAAUCUACUUUCUGUUUCUUUGACUUGCCUAUUCUAGAUAUUUCAUAUAAAUGAAAUCCUAUAAUAUGCGACCUUUUAUGUCUGAUUUCAUUCACUCAGCAAAAUGUUUUUAAAGUUCAUCCAUAUUACAGCAUGGAUCAGAACUAUAUUCCCUUUCAUGAUUAAAUAAUAUUUCACUGCAUGUAUAUACCAUAUUUGGUUAUCUAUUUAUCUGCUGAUGUACAUGGGUUAUUUCUAUAUUUUGGCUAUUGAGAAUAAUGCCGUUAAGAACAUUACCUAAAAGUAUCUGUUUGAAUCGUAUGUUGAAUUCUUUUGGGUUUAAUAUACAUUUUUAAGAAAUAACACAUUUUUAAAAAUUGAAGUAAAAUCCAUGUAAGAUAAAAUUUACCAUUUGUAUUAGUCCAUUUUCACACUGCUAUGAAGAAAUAUCUGAGACUGGGUAAUUUAUAAAGGAAAGAGGUUUGAUUGACUCACAGAUCCGCAUUGCUGGGGAAGCCUCAGAAAAC
rnacentral:lncRNA from 10 species